rnacentral:rRNA from 1 species
AGUGAACGCUGGCGGUAGGCCUAACACAUGCAAGUCGAACGGCAGCACAGUAAGAGCUUGCUCUUACGGGUGGCGAGUGGCGGACGGGUGAGGAAUACAUCGGAAUCUACUUUUUCGUGGGGGAUAACGUAGGGAAACUUACGCUAAUACCGCAUACGACCUACGGGUGAAAGCAGGGGUUCUUCUGACCUUGCGCGAUUGAAUGAGCCGAUGUCGGAGUAGCUAGUUGGCGGGGUAAAGGCCCACCAAGGCGACGAUCCGUAGCUGGUCUGAGAGGAUGAUCCGCCACACUGGAACUGAGACACGGCACAGACUCCUACGGGAGGCAGCAGUGGGGAAUAUUGGACAAUGGGCGCAAGCCUGAUCCAGCCAUACCGCGUGGGUGAAGAAGGCCUUCGGGUUGUAAAGCCCUUUUGUUGGGAAAGAAAAGCAGCAGGUUAAUACCCCGCUGUUCUGACGGUACCCAAAGAAUAAGCACCGGCUAACUUCGUG